GGAGGAUUCAAGCGUUAUCCGGAUUUACUGGGUGUAAAGGGAGCGUAGGUGGCAUGGUAAGCCAGAAGUGAAAACCCGGGGCUCAACCCCGCGGAUUGCUUUUGGAACUAUCAGGCUGGAGUGCUGGAGGGGUAAGCGGAAUUCCUAGUGUAGCGGUGAAAUGCGUAGAUAUUAGGAGGAACACCGGUGGCGAAGGCGACUUACUGGACAGAAACUGACACUGAGGCUCGAAAGCGUGGGGAGCAAA
rnacentral:rRNA from 1 species